UCACGACUCUCGGCGGCGGAUAUCUCGGCUCUUGCAUCGAUGAAGAACGUAGCGAAAUGCGAUACCUGGUGUGAAUUGCAGAAUCCCGCGAACCAUCGAGUCUUUGAACGCAAGUUGCGCCCGAGGCCACCCGGCCGAGGGCGCGCCUGCCUGGGCGUCACGC
rnacentral:rRNA from 1 species